GACGAACGCUGGCGGCGUGCUUAACACAUGCAAGUCGAACGGAAAGGCCCUGCUUUUGUGGGGUGCUCGAGUGGCGAACGGGUGAGUAACACGUGAGUAACCUGCCCUUGACUUUGGGAUAACUUCAGGAAACUGGGGCUAAUACCGGAUAGGAGCUCCUGCUGCAUGGUGGUGGUUGGAAAGUUUCGGCGGUUGGGGAUGGAAUCGCGGCUUAUCAGCUUGUUGGUGGGGUAGUGGCUUACCAAGGUUUUGACGGGUAGCCUGCCUGGGAGGGUGACCGGCCACAUUGGGACUGCGAUACGGCCCAGAAUGCUACGGGAGGCAGCAGUCGGGAAUAUUGCACAAUGGGCGGAAGUCUGAUGCAGCAACGCCGCGUGCGGGAUGACGGCCUUCGGGUUGUAAACAGCUUUCGACUGUGACGAAGCGUGAGUGACGGUAAUGGGUAAAGAAGCCCCGGCUAACUACGUG
rnacentral:rRNA from 1 species